UCCUGCAGAGGAGCACUGCCCUAUACUGGAAGACCAUGCUGUGUCCGUGGCGAAGCACUUCCUCAAGGUGCUUCUGCUCGUGGUGUCCAAUCCCGUGUAUGUUUCUAGCUACAACUCCUAGAAGCUGUCAGGGUUGGGUUCCCGGCGUGCGGCGUCAUCAGCUCAAGCACCAACCAGUUUGUAAUCCACAUGCAGCUUCUAGGUUCUGGCUUUGGGAUGGAGGAACAUAGCACAUCGUUGCUGAAUUUGGAGUUAUACGCAUCAACAAAGGAAGGGGAAGCAUAGCACUAAGGAAGUCCAAAUUGCAAAACAGUUAUGUUCGUGUAGAUCAUCCAAGCUCUACAUACUCAUGAGGUGCUCUCUGGCUAGUUAAGAUAAGGACCAUAAUUUCACCUGGUAGAAAAAAUAUGUGGACCAUCGAUUUCUGUUCGGUGGCCAGCAAACUAUUACUCCAUCCAUCCCAUAAUAUAAGUGUUUUUGACACUGUGUAGUGGCAAAAACGCUCUUAUAUCAUGGGACGGAGGGACUAGUUGGUAGACAUACCUGCUCAUUUUUUGCUGUAACUACUUUGAACAAGUGCCUUCACAAUGACUGAAUUAAAGGUUGCCUUAGACGUCUCUUAACCUGCCUAGGUCACAUCUUUGAGAUGAAAGAUUAUGAUUCUCAAGCUAAAAAAAUAGAUCAUUUGUUGAGUUUUUUUGUGGCAAACAUUUACUAGAACUCGAGAUCCUUUGGCAAUGUUGUAACUUCGAAGAAUGUAAUUUGACUUUCAAGAAGAUUUGUGUUAAGUUUUUUAAUUAUUGGUAAUUACAGGGAGGCAUCGUGGCUUGAUUAUCUCACUCUUCUCCUGAGACAAUUGACUAGCCCACCGAAGACAAUGUCCAAGGGCAUUUGUGCACAAGGAUUCCUGCUUCCUGCUACUCACGAGCACCCGGCGGGAUUACCGGUGCAUUAUGCAAACAUCAGAUGAUCUACUGCUCCUAUCGAUGAGUAAGGAAUGACAUACAAGAGGACCAUGAUGGAACCAUGAAGAUGGCGGUAUGCGUUAGCUAGACAUUUUGUGUAAUGGAGCAAAACAAUGUGCAUUUUAGUUAUCAUUUUGUAAUCCUAUAUGGUGUCUUGUCAACUGGGCAUUUUGUGUAAUGGAGCAAACAAUGAAUAGUCGGACAUGCAUCUAUCAUUUUGUAAACCAAUCAGGUGUCUCCAUGGUCGAAACAUAAACGUUUCCUCCUUUCAGUUAGUUACUUUUACCUA